GACGUAGGUGGCAAGCGUUGUUCGGAAUCACUGGGCCUAAAGAGCACGUAGGCGGCUGGGUCAGUCGGGUGUGAAAUCCCUCGGCUCAACCGAGGAACUGCGCCCGAUACUGCCUGGCUUGAGUUCCGGAGGGGGGAGUGGAAUUCCCGGUGGAGCGGUGAACUGCGUAGAGAUCGGGAGGAACGCCGGCGGCGAAAGCGACUCUCUGGUCGGAUCCUGACGCUGAGGUGCGAAAGCUAGGGGAGCAAACGGG
rnacentral:rRNA from 1 species